rnacentral:rRNA from 1 species
AGCCGGUCUCAGUUCGGAUUGCAGGCUGCAACUCGCCUGCAUGAAGUCGGAAUUGCUAGUAAUCGCGGAUCAGCAUGCCGCGGUGAAUACGUUCCCGGGUCUUGUACACACCGCCCGUCACACCACGAGAGUUUACAACACCCGAAGUCGGUGGGGUAACCCGCAAGGGAGCCAGCCGCCGAAGGUGGGGUAGAUGAUUGGGGUGAAGUCGUAACAAGGUAGCCGUAUCGGAAGGUGCGGCUGGAUCACCUCCUUUCUAUGGAG